rnacentral:rRNA from 1 species
AGCGAACGCUGGCGGCAGGCCUAACACAUGCAAGUCGAACGAACCUUUCGGGGUUAGUGGCGGACGGGUGAGUAACAAGUGGGAACGUGCCUUUAGGUUCGGAAUAACUCAGGGAAACUUGUGCUAAUACCGAAUGUGCCCUUCGGGGGAAAGAUUUAUCGCCUUUAGAGCGGCCCGCGUCUGAUUAGCUAGUUGGUUGAGGUAAUGGCUCACCAAGGCGACGAUCAGUAGCUGGUCUGAGAGGAUGAUCAGCCACAUUGGGACUGAGACGCGGCCCAAACUCCUACGGGAGGCAGCAGUGGGGAAUCUUGCGCAAUGGGCGAAAGCCUGACGCAGCCAUGCCGCGUGAAUGAUGAAGGUCUUAGGAUUGUAAAAUUCUUUCACCGGGGACGAUAAUGACGGUACCCGGAGAAGAAGCCCCGGCUAACUUCGUG